rnacentral:lncRNA from 1 species
CUAGAACUCAAUUUGACAUCCUAGCUAAACAUAUCAAGUAGCUUAAGCAUCUUUUGAAAAAGCUUGUAAGCUUCGAGCCUUGAAAACUCUUCUUGAAACUUGUUUGCUUGCUUGAUAUUGGCAUUGUUUUUAAGAUCAGCUCCAAUAUAAACUUGGCUUGAAUGAACUUAAUCUCUCUUGCAUAUAGGCAUUUGCAUACUUGAUCAUGGAUCUCAUACACAUUUGGGUUAUCUUAUUUCCUCAUACCUAUCUUUGUUAACCCAAAUGGCACUCCCUACCCUAAAACCCUAGCCAUUCUUUGAGACCAAACAUUGAAUUGCAUGAGUGAAGCCUCUUUUGAUAGCUUGUCAUGUGCAAAAUCUUGAGAGUAUUGGAGGCGACAUAGAUUUAUUCUCAUCUCUAGCUAGCAUAAUGAGUUAGCAUUUAGGGAUGGUGAGAGGGGUUUGUAUGUUCUAAAUUUCAUAUCUUGGGUUUGGAGAGUGAGAAAGAUGAGAGAUGAGCAAAAGAGUAUGAAUAGAAAAGAAUACUCUAGGGAUAAAAAAAAAAAAAUAACAAGCUUUUGAUUUUGCAACAAAGGACCUUCCCC